UGGGGUGGUAAAUUUCAUCUAAAGCUAAAUAUGGGCCAGAGACCGAUAGCGCACAAGUAGAGUGAUCGAAAGAUGAAAAGCACUUUGAAAAGAGAGUUAAACAGUAUGUGAAAUUGUUGAAAGGGAAGCGCUGGCAACCAGACUUGCGCGGGACGGUUCCCCCGAUCAGACGAUCGGGCUACUCCGUCCCGGACAGGCCAGCAUCGGUUCGGGUGGUCGGUGAAAGACCCCGGGAAUGUAUCUACCUUCGGGUCGACUUAUAGCCCGGGGUGCAACGCGGCCUAUCCGGACCGAGGAACGCGCUCCGGCACGGAUGCUGGCGUAAUGGUUGUCAGCGGCCCGUCUUGAAACACGGACCAAGGAGUCUAACAUCUGUGCGAGUGUUUGGGUGUCAAACCCCGACGCGGAAUGAAAGUGAACGGUGGUAAGAACCCCGCCUGGGGCGCAUUAUCGACCGAUCCUGAUGUCUUCGGAUGGAUUUGAGUAAGAGCAUGGCUGUUGGGACCCGAAAGAUGGUGAACUAUGCCUGGAUAGGGUGAAGCCAGAGGAAACUCUGGUGGAGGCUCGCAGCGGUUCUGACGUGCAAAUCGAUCGUCAAAUCUGGGUAUAGGGGCGAAAGACCAAUCGAACCAUCCGUUGCCAGGUGGUUAAUUUCUUACCUAUCAGUUAGGUCAGUCUGAUACUCUUGGUAUUGGGCGACGUCGUCAGUCUUCGGGGAUGUCUUCGUGGCUAUCCGAAGCCGUCCUUAUCUCGGGACGGUUCACAGACUAGACAGUGACGGCCGGAUCCCCUUGACCAGGGGACGGUGAUUAUAUAGUCGAGUAAAGUUAUUGGAUCUUGCGGGUGUCAACCUGUCCAGGGUUGAUCCCCCGAGAACCGGUAACCUUAGACGCUGGUAGCUGGUUCCUGCCGAAGUUUCCCUCAGGAUAGCAGUAACGUGUUCAGUUUAUGAGGUAAAGCGAAUGAUUAGAGGCCUUGGGGUUGAAACAAC
rnacentral:rRNA from 1 species